GAAUGUCUAUGUCGACUUCAUGGCUUCAGGGACACUGGACUUUUAAGAAUAGUCCAAUGGCUGAGAGACCAGUUGGGAAGAUCCAACUUGAGAAGGCCCUUAACAAACAAGAACAAGUCCAGUAGUUUGAUCCGUGAAGUGGAUAUGUUAGAGACAGGCACUUGACGUGACAUGAUCAAUAUAAAAAAAAAAUUACCUCCCAGUUUGGAAGUUUUGGGAAAAGGAGGAUGCAGGUGAUCACCGGACACAUUGAAAGAUUUUCUGGGUGAAUCAAGUUCGAUCUGUGGUGGUCCUACUUAGUAACUAAGCCACGUUUCCACCAAGUUGGGCUCAUUUUAGUUGUGGUCACAGUUUUGCAAAAGGACUCAAGAUAGUCCACCUGCUCCUGCUUUUGUACCAUUUUGUUGAAGUUGUUGGGCAUCCUCGAUUGUUGGCCUCCUUCUAGCCAGUAUGUACACAACACUGAUGUUGGAAACAAGGAUUUCAGAGGAUUUUCGAGACAAACAAAGUCCGAUCUACUUUGUCAAGAAGUAGGGCUCACUUCAGUUGGGUACACUUCGUAAUUUUACAGCGUUUCCAUUGCAAAAAUUCCCACAAUUUCCCCCAAAUAUGGGUGUAAUGGUACAUGUAUUAGUAUUUUAUGGCCUGAUGAAGCUUCUAGGUGAGGGGCAGAAAGUGUACCUGCAUCGCACUCUAGGUUCAUGUGUACUCCAUGAACAAACAAAGUGCAGCUCAGCUUCUGGCUGGCAGAUAUUAUGGCUAGCGAUAUGCUUUUGACAAAGCUAUAAAAAUUGUCAUUAGUGUUUUCAUAGUACAAUGUAUAAUAAUUCUGUUAGAACUGUUAUAGUUGCAUUUAUCUUCAUCAUUCAUUUCCUGAACAGACGACAAACUAAUGAUGCUGGACGUUCAUAAAAUGUUUAAAUAGUUAAGCCUUUAUAUGUUUAUUUUUCAUACUGUUGUAUACAUGAAUUAAGAAUCUUAAAUUUAUUGGAGAAUUUACUUCUAGCCUAUGUUUAAUUUUAACACGAUGGGCGACUGGUUAGCACAUCUGCCUCACAGUUCUGAGGACCGGGGUUCAAAUCUGGCCUCGCCUGUGUGGAGUUUGCAUGUUCUCCCUGUGCCUGCGUGGGUUUUCUUCGGGUACCUCGCGGGUUUCCUCCCACAUUCCAAAAACAUCCAUGGUAGGUUAAUUGAUGACUCUAAGUGUGAAUGUGAGUGCGGAUGGUUGUUUGUUUAUAUGUGCCCUGCGAUUGGCUGGCGACCAGUUCAGGUUGUACCCUGCCUCUCGCCCAGAGUCAGCUAGGAUAGGCUCCAGCUCACCCCUGACCCUAGUGAGGAUACGCAGUACAGAAAAUGUAUGAAUGGAUGGAAAAAAGUUUUAAUACGACAAAAAAAGUUGUGACGUUACAAGAAAAAAGUUGCAAAGAUAUGACAAAAAAAGUCAUAAAGGUAUGUCAAGAAAGUCAUUAAAAAAAGGGUCUGGAAGUUGUCACCCCUACAUCUACACCACUCAGUUUUUCCCCACGCCACCCAUUCAUUGUGUCGAAUCAGGAUUCACACCCUCACCAAACCGUUCCGUAGCCAACCGAACUGAACCAAACCACUUGGUGGAAACGUGGGUUGAGAUGAUUUUGGAACAUUUCAACUUUUGUUGGAUGCAACAACCAUUUUCCAUAGAUCCUGAGAUUAAAUAUUAAACAUAACAUUAAACAUAAUUACAUUGGGGCUUUUUGGUCAUGUCUUUAAUGUCACAUUCCUUUGGAAUGUUUGAAUGGCAAUGAGGAGGAUUUCAACUAAAAGUUAAGAUAAAAGUUUUAAAAAAAUGCUAUUCAAGGUACAUAACCAGGUCUUGACCUAUGUGCUUGAUAAGAAGCAGACCAAAUAACUGACAAGUGAGUCCAAGGUACGAUGGGAACGCUUGCACAUGCACUUGCGUCAGAAUUUCCCCCCUAAAAUCCGACAGAUGGAUCACACCUGGUGAGCGCAACGGUUCAGAUGGUCAGCAGAGAUUUUUUGGGGGUUUUUUUUCAAACGUGGGAGAUACCACCAUGAUUGGGUGAAAGUUUAAACCUGACUUUGGCUCCAGGGUUUCGGGUAGCAGGAACCAUCCCCUUGUUGGUAUCCUAUGACGGCGUGGGGUCAUAAAUCACACCGGUGGACCUUUUCAUUGCUGUCUCUCUCAUAUUUGAGCUCUGCCUCAAGAGGAGGGGGAUCAAGAGGGACGAAGGGGGUCUUGGCCUGGUGGGAAACCUGAGCAGGACGUCAGAGAGGGGGCAGGGAGGAAAGGGGUUAUGUUGAAUUGAAGCAAGAAGAAGACAAGUUUUGUCAGCAUUUGGUCAAGAGUUGAGCAGCUCGGAAGCCGACAGUAGCAACCAACCAGAGUAAUCCCAAUGUUUGUUUUCACCUGCUCGGAGCGCCCAAGACGAGGAUUUACUGACCUCCGUCCUCAUGAAAGCCACUGACCUCGCCCUGCACUCCAACGCACUUUUGGGGUUUGGCCGCUCCCCAUUUAAGGCCGGUUGGGCUGCCAGCGCAAGGGAACGCGUUGCGAAUCGGCGCCACGCUGGUCCAGACCUCCCCAGAGGAUUCGCUCCACGACAAAACCGCUGAAGGAUCCCCACGUGACUUGUAGAGUGUAAUUUUGCAUGGGCAUUUAUCGUGAAGAACAAGAAAAUAGUUUUUGAGAGAAAAAAAGACAAUUUUAUGUAGGAAAAAAGGCCUAUUUUUGGAGAAAAUGUCAGAAUAUUAUGGGAUUUUUUUAAAAUGUAAAGUUACUUGAAAAACAGUUGUAGUUUUUGAGAAAAAGACAAAAUAUUUCGAGAAUAAAAGGUAUUUUGGAUUGCA